UUUCAACUGUCCUUUGCCCAGAUAAGGAUUAGCCCAUCCCUCUUCAUUCCCUCUAGCCUUCUGCACCUGGCCCUCCCAGUGCACCUGGUCAAUCCCAGCCCCUCCCUGACCUGUACAAAUACACCUGAGGACAGACAGUGCUCCAGACUUCCUGUCCCUGCUCUGAACUCUCAGGUAUUCCUUGUGUCAUUCCCUGCUCUUACUCCAAAAAUAUGCACCCAGGUAAGCACUAUGGCUGGGAGGCUGGGAAUUGGAAGAAGGGGGAGAGCAGUAAAGACAGGGACUAUCAGUCAGCCAUAACCAGUGCAUGCCAAAAAUGUAUGUGCGUGUGUGUUUGUAUGAAGGCGGUAGUAGGGAUCCACAAUGAAGACAAGCCCUUAUAUUCUGUAAAACAUGUUCCAGUUUAAGAAACAUGCUUACUCAUGUUUCUUAACAGGGCAGGAGCUUCUCCCACUGCACACUCGAGGCCCAAGGGAGCUAGGGGUUAUGCUCAGGGCAAGGCCAUGGAGGUGCGGCUGGGUCGGAAUCCAGAAUCCAGCUCUUGGGAGCUGUGCCAUUGGCUUCCCUCGAAAUGAACAAAAGACCGUCCUAGCCUUUAAGAAGUAGCAGGUGAUCCCCACCAAUGGGGCACUUCAGAACACGCAGGACCACUCAGGUGGGUGCUACAGAAGGAGCCCACCGGACCCACAGCUGGGCAGCCUGGAUGGCCCCCGUGUGGAUUUCCUGCAGGAGGGCAACACACAGCUGCACCAGGGAGAUUUCCAAGUGGCAGGAGGCAGGAGCAAAGGCCAAGAGCUGAGAACAGAAGGUCAUAAACAGGAGACAAAAAACAGCUCUGAGAGACUGAGCAGAGAUUGGCCCAAGAUACCCGGGGCGUGACAGGGGCAGAGGACAGAUGGGGAGGUUGGCAGGGCGGCUGGCACGGAGGUAGAAGCAAGAAUCAGGUGAAUGACAGGGUUGGCCAUUAUGGAGCAGCUCCAGGCUGACAGAGUUGGGACCCAUACCUCCUGACAGGCGCCGCUCCACCCAGAACUCAGCCAGCCCUUGACCACACAGGGACACACCGCUGAAUCUUACAUUGACUUCCAAUAUGUAUCUUUGCUGAGAGAAUGAAUGAAUGAUUGCCAGACAAGUGACGGGCAAGUGACCACAUCUGAGAGGCCCUCUUGGGGUAGGGGUGUGGGCACGAAAUCCUUAGCGCCAGGGAGAAGACAGGUUGUUUUUACUGCAGAACCAAAUGACCAAAGCUGCUGCUUUUUUUCCCUUCCUUUCCCACAGGUCCGAAGGUACGAAAGUUCCUCCAAUGUUCUCCCCUUUUUCCUCCCCACUGUAAUGUCCUCCAGACCCCCAGCCUCCUUCCUAGACCCUCAGGGAGCAGCCACCACUUCCCCCAAAUGAAAAGAAGGGAGCAGGCUCAGGCAUCAGCCCUGUGGGGGAGGGGGCAGCGCUGCACUCCUCCACCCUCUGCUGGCUGCAGCCUUCUUGGCGUUCUCUCCUCUGUUUUCCCAUCUGUCUCUCUCCUUUCCUCACGUCCCCUCCCUGCCCUAGCAGCCCAUCCUCUCUCCUGCUGCUUCCCCGCCUGUUCUAUGCUUUUCUGCUUUCCUGGCUACCCCCACAGCCUCGCUGGAUGGCUGGCUUGCUCCCAAACUCCAAGCACACUAUGGGGCCCCUAGGACCUACUCCUGCCAGAGAAAGGAGACUGCCUCUCCUCCACCUCUUCUCACCCACUGGCUACCACCAGCAGACUCAGUUCUUAGGCCUGGGUCUGGGUGCCAACCCCCAAACAAAAGAGCCAUAAGCGGAGAGGCAGGUGGGGUGGGAAGUGGCUGUUUCCAGGCACCACUGAGCCUGGAUGGGGCAGGGGCUGCUCUACCAUGGUCACAGGAAAGCGCCCAGCCCUGGAGCCUGCCUCUUCCCCACUGGUACCAAGCCCUAAUCAAGCCCUAGGAGGCAGAAGGAGACUGGGGAGGUAUCCAGCCUGGACAGUGGGAGCAUAGCCUCACUCUGCUCCACAGGGCCCCAGACCCCCAGUCCCCUAUCACAGAAGCAAGGUGGUGUCUCUUGCCUGCCCCCUGGGCUUGUGGCAAGAGGAAAAAAAAAAAAAAAACUCCUCUGGCCUUGGGGCUUCAGGAAUGAUUCCAGCCAAGAUGGAAGGUUAAACCACACUUUUUCCAGGCCUCUUCUGGCUGAGGCAGAAAAGCUUUUACUUUACUUUCUAUUCUUCCUGAUUUCUCGGGUCUGGCAUCCACUCAGGAACAGGUAUGAGCUCACACAUACUCAUGUACACAGAACCAUGCACUCCAUGCACGUAUCUGUGUACACAGCAAGCCUGAAUAUGAACCCACCCACACAUGUGUACACAAACAUAGCUAUUUUAUAUAAAUAUGGCACACACCCUGUACACACACACACACACACACACACACACCCAUAAAAAUAAUACAUACAUCCUCACCUUGCCACCUCCUACCCUCCGUGUCCUCUCAUCCUCCAACCGUCCUCCUUCUCCUCCUCAGCUCUUUCAUCUCCCCUGACCCGGCCUCCUGUCUCCCCCUGCCCCUGGCCUUCAAAGAGCUCUUCUGUAGCCUCCUCCAGCCUCACCCUUGCUCCUAAGUACAAUGAGCCUGCAGUUCCUAGCAUGGCAAAACCUCUAAUCAUUCUGCCAGGGUUCCUGGGUGAGAGAAAGGAGAAGAUGAAAUAAUUCUGCUUCUUAGUUGCAAAUAAAGUAAAUUGAGGUCCAGGGAGUGGGAGUCAUAUCUCGGCUCAAAGAAUAGAAACCAAUAAAUCUAGGUUGCUCCCCUUUUAUCUGCUCAGUGUUCUGGCCUCACCAAGACAAAAGGCAUGGGACAUGCUACCCAUGUCCCCAGCCCUCCACCGCAACUCCUUGGGUGCCUAGGAGUCCUGAGUCCCCCGGGGAAGUGGAGUGAGGUAGAGUUUAUCUCAGGUAAGCUUAGCCCUGACCUCAGACUCUGACAUUGUUCAUUUGACUUUCCACAGGAGCACUGUCACUGUGGGGGGCAUGGCCAUCCUCCAGGUCACUGUGGGCCACCCCCCGGCCACGGCCCAGGGCCCUGCGGGCCACCCCCCGGCCACGGCCCAGGGCCCUGCGGGCCACCCCCCGGCCACGGCCCAGGGCCCUGCGGGCCACCCCCUGGCCAUGGCCCAGGGCCCUGUGGGCCUCCCCCUGGCCAUGGCCCAGGGCACCCACACCCUGGUCCACAUCACUGAGGAAGCAGAAGAAAACAGGACACAAGAUGGCAAGCCUGAGAGAAUUGCCCAGCUGACCUGGAAUGAGGCCUGAACCACAAUCUUCUUUUCCUAAUAAAUAGCCUCCUAGAGGUCACGUUCUAUUAUUUAAA